GCUCCUGUCGACUAGUGGUUCAGGUCAUCACAUUCUCAAUGUGAAGAGAAGAGUUCGAAUCUCUUCAGGAGUA
rnacentral:tRNA from 1 species